GGAUGUCCCUGGCGCUGUUUUACCGCAACUUCAACCAGAAAGAUGCAAAGUUACAGAGUUGCGAAUAUGGUUGAAAUGCCGGGGACAAGCUGUGAAAUCGAAUGAGACAAAAGCCGAACUUUGCUUGAGGGUAAAGAAAUUCAGUGACAACCAGGAUAACAUCCUAAUUGUGGAUCCUUAUCCAGACCAGCCAUUUGCAGCUAAGCAGAAGUCGUCCUGUAUGAACUGUCAAGGACAAUCAACAGUGUCAACAGCGGAAGAACAUCUUAAUUUGGAAGAAUGCACAUGGACCCAAAGCACCAGACCGAUCUUCAAAGACUUUUCGUACAUGAACAUUCUGGAAUGGACCAAAAGUUCUGGUAAAGGUUCAAAACUGGGUGUUGAAAAGCCUAUUCAACGAGGCUAUGUGUUUUUUCAUGACGGUUAUGUAUUCGACACAUGGACAUCUAAACGUAACAGUUCAACAAUUGUUAGAUGCAAGUGUUUCCGCUCCAUGAAAAACCGGUAAUCAGAAAUAAAGAGUAUUGAAAUAAUCUAAAUUAUAUUUGAAAGUAUUCAAUUUUGUGUUAUUUUAGUGUCAGUAUUUGUGAGAUUCACCUCAAAUCACAUUUAUUCAUUCAAUAUAAUCAUAGGAUCUCAGCUCAUUUUGGUGCAAUACCUGUAUCUGAAUGUUUGUAAUUUUCAGAUUGUGUUUCCUUAAAUUAGUUUAUGAUUUCUAGCUUUCACAUGUUGUCUUUCAUCAUUAAUCUUACAAUUAAUGAUACUUCAUACUGUUUUGUGAUGAACUAUGCUACUCAAAUGUGCUUAUCUUGCAUUAUUUCUGUUGUAAUAAAGCUUAUAUCAUUGA